UACGUAGGGUCCGAGCGUUGUCCGGAAUUAUUGGGCGUAAAGAGCUCGUAGGCGGUUUGUUGCGUCGGCCGUGAAAUCCCGAGGCUCAACCUCGGGUCUGCAGUCGAUACGAGCAAACUAGAGUGUUGCAGGGGAGACUGGAAUUCCUGGUGUAGCGGUGAAAUGCGCAGAUAUCAGGAGGAACACCGGUGGCGAAGGCGGGUCUCUGGGCAGUAACUGACGCUGAGGAGCGAAAGCGUGGGGAGCGAACAGG
rnacentral:rRNA from 1 species